rnacentral:rRNA from 1 species
UUAACAAUUAGGGGAAACGUUAUGGCCAUAGGGCUCCACAGCGCAACCCCGAUCGGAUGGCGAGUAGACCUUUGGUUCUCGAACUUCGAAUCUAACAAACCCCGGCGCGGACAGCGCCAAGGAAUCAAAACAAAAAGAACUUGACCCUCCAACCCGUUGAUCGGAAUGGGAGGGCCUUGUUCGUUCAAAAAUAUCAUAACGACUCUCGGCAACGGAUAUCUCGGCUCUUGCAUCGAUGAAGAACGUAGCAAAAUGCGAUACUUGGUGUGAAUUGCAGAAUCCCGUGAAUCAUCGAGUCUUUGAACGCAAGUUGCGCCCGAAGCCUUUAGGCCGAGGGCACGUCUGCCUGGGCGUCAUGCAUUGCGAUGCCCACAUACAAGUAUGGGGGCGAAUCCUGGCCUCCCGUUAGCUCCAACUCGCGGAUGGCUUAAAAUCGAGCCUUGAGAAGGGAAAACGUUGCGACAAGUGGUGGUUGAAGGGCUAUUGCCUUAGAACUUAGCACGUCUAGACCUUUACCCUCUGUUGCUCUAAAAUGACCUAAUCGGAGUGCGUCAUCGUGCUGCCAGCAUCGUGACCCCAGGUCAGGCGGGACUACCCGCUGAG